UUUUGAUGCACACAUUACUGUUUUCCCCAGCUGUAACCAAGGUAUACAUUUUCCUCUCCAGAAAUUCAUCAACAGCAAGGAUCAACAAGAAGCUGAAGCAUCCUGACAGAUGAAGGACAAUCCAUUCCUUGGCAUUGCAAUGGAUCCUCUCCUCAGGAACUGCCCUGGCUCCAAGAAGCACCUUCAUUGUUGAGAAAAACAUGCAAAUGAAGUGUGAAAGAGAAAUUAUUCUGCAAGCAGACAGGAGCAGCAUCACUGGAAGAACAGGGCCACCAAGAGAAUCCCAGAUCCAGGGCACAACUGAGAGAAAUCACAGAAAGCUGGGACUGACACCCCCUCAUUGAUGGGCAAAGGUAUCUGUAUUGAGCCACAUACCAGGAGCUGAGAGGAGCCUGGCCAGCACCACACAUGAUCAGAAAUAGAAAUCCUGAGCUCAGCCAGGAGUGAUGGAAGAGUUUUGGCUGGAUGGUGCACAAAAAGCUUUGUGCAGUCACAGAGACAGUGGAGUUGACCUUCAAACCAUAACACUUUUAAAUAUCUGUGAAUAUACAAGGUUAAAUCUAUUAGUGGUCUGAGAUUAGCUGUUCUGCACUUCCAAAGUGUGUACCUUCUGCAGCAAAUUUUAUCUCCCGGUGAAUGAUAACGAGCUUACAUCCACCCUACAAGUUUUCAACAAAUAAUGGGAUAUGUGUUUUCACUGGGACCGCCUUCGCUUUCUCAACUCCUCACUCUCCUACCCACUGACUACAUCAGCUCCUGGCUGCUCUCUGCCAGCUAAGGCACACAGGCUGCCAAAUAGCUUCCUGCUCAAAGAUCUCUGCAUCCUCUCUGUGCCACGGGCCAUCACCCUGCAGCUCCAAUGUUUUUUUCCCCAGAACAGUGAUAUGGAAGGAUGUCAUGCUUUGAGCUGAAUGCCAAGACUGAGCCAGAAGGGUUGGGAAGAGGAGGAGCAAUGCUCACCCCUGGAAUUGUGAGGUGUCUUUGCUGGAGAUUCUCAUGGGAGUAACUUAAAGAAUCAGACCCUCAGUUUACAAAUUUUCCCAGGGAGGAGGAGAGGAGCAACACCUCAUCCCACUCUCUGGUGACUCCCAGCCUCUCUCUUCAAUCUCCCUCUCGCUCCUGGCCUGGCCUCUCCGUGCAGAUCCAGAGGUCUGGAUGUUACCAUCUGUUUUGAGUAGAAAAAGCUGCCAUUUUUUUUAAAAAGGUUGCAGAGUGAACAGGUUGGACCAGUUGCUGCCAGGGUGGAGUUCUAACUGUUUGUUAUUGUAAUCACUGGUCAUUUUUGUAAACUACCUGUCACUGAUGGUUAAGAACCACCAUCCAGGAGGAUGACCCUUCUCGGACAGUGAAAGGAGGGGACAUCGGAGGGCGUGCAAAUGACCUCGGAGCCAGCAUGCCAUGGGAAAGCCACCCCACCAAACUCACCAAAAGACCCCAAAAGCAACGAGCCAACACAGAAUUAAGAGAUCAAAGUGAUGCCUGGACGUGAGGAACAAAAUCCAGAGCCUGCACAGAGGCUGAGAUCCUUCUUUGCCCCUCGCCCCAGCCAAGGAAGACCUUGGCUAGAGGCAGGACCCUGGGAGUCAAACCAAAAAAGCAGAACAAGGGGAUUUCCCAAUGCUCUCAUGAGGAUGAAAUUGUCUAAAAUUGGCCAAAUAAGAAGCUGCAGCAUAUAUCCCUUUAAGCUGUUGGGUGCAGUUGGUGAGCAAACCCAUCAGCAGCCCUCUGAUCCACCCCAGGAGCUCUGAAGCAGCAGGAAGGAAAAAUUGUCCCAUAAACUGCAGCUGGUCCAAUCCUUUUACCUUGAGAUGAUAGAAU